GGUCUCGUAGCUCAGCGGGAGAGCACUACGUUGACAUCGUAGGGGUCACUGGUUCAAUCCCAGUACCGCCCACCA
rnacentral:tRNA from 1 species